GACGGAGGAUGCAAGCGUUAUCCGGAAUUAUUGGGCGUAAAGCGUCCGCAGGUGGACAUACAAGUCUGCUGUCAAAGUGCAGAGCUUAACUCUGUAAAGGCGGUGGAAACUGUAGGUCUUGAGUAUGGUAGGGGUAGAGGGAAUUCCCGGUGUAGCGGUGAAAUGCGUAGAUAUCGGGAAGAACACCAGUGGCGAAAGCGGCUCACUGGACCGGAACUGACGCUGAGGCGCGAAAGCGUGGGGAGCGAACAGG
rnacentral:rRNA from 1 species